rnacentral:rRNA from 1 species
UACGUAGGGUGCGAGCGUUGUCCGGAAUUAUUGGGCGUAAAGAGCUCGUAGGCGGUGUGUCACGUCGUUCGUGAAAACCUGCAGCUUAACUGUGGGCGUGCGGUCGAUACGGGCAUCACUGGAGUUCGGCAGGGGAGACUGGAAUUCCUGGUGUAGCGGUGAAAUGCGCAGAUAUCAGGAGGAACACCGGUGGCGAAGGCGGGUCUCUGGACAGUUCCUGACACUGAGACACGAAGGCCAGGGGAGCAAACGGGG